rnacentral:rRNA from 1 species
GGGUCAGUAGGUUGGUCGUGCCACCGGUACGUACUGGUCUCACUGAUUCCUCCUUCCUGAAGAACCGUAAUGCCAUUAAUUUGGUGUUGCGGGGAAACAGGACUGUUACUUUGAAAAAAUUAGAGUGUUUAAAGCAAGCUAACGCUUGAAUACAUUAGCAUGGAGUAAUGGAAUAGGACGAUCGAUCCUAUUUUGUUGGUUUCUAGGAUUGACGUA